CGCCCCGUCGCACUCUGCGCGCCGUCGGGAGCCCUGGGGCGCCCCGGCCCGUGUCCCUUUUUCUCCCGAAGUUUUCGGGACUUCCUUCGCCGCCACCGGGCCACCUUCUCCCAUCAACUCGGUCUCUCAAGGGACCCGCGACGCUAGAGCUUGACCUCUCACGUUUGGCCGGUUCAGAAAUGACUACACGCGAAAACCAGAACUUUUUAAAAAGAGGACAUAUCAUUUGAUCCUCAUAUCAAAAUUGAUGAAGGAGAUAGUACCGUGACACAUCGUAAAGGACAGAAUUAUG
rnacentral:lncRNA from 1 species